AUUGAACGCUGGCGGCAGGCCUAACACAUGCAAGUCGAGCGGAGCGGCGGCCGGGUGCGUAAUGCCUAGGACUCUGCCUGGUCGUGGUGGAUAACGUCCGGAACCGGGAGCUGAUACCGCAUCCUCUCAGCUUCGCCUGGGUCGGAUUAGCUAGUUGGUGGGGUAAGGGCAUACCAAGGCGACGAUCCGUAACUGGUCUGAGAGGAUGAUCAGUCACACUGGAACUGAGACACGGUCCAGACUCCUACGGGAGGCAGCAGUGGGGAAUAUUGGACAAUGGGCGAAAGCCUGAUCCAGCCAUGCCGCGUGUGUGAAGAAGGUCUUCGGGUCGUAAAACUCUGUUAUCAGGGAGGCGGUACCUAAAGAGGAAGCAACGGCUAACUACGUGCCAGCAGCCGCGGUAAUAC
rnacentral:rRNA from 1 species